rnacentral:rRNA from 1 species
ACACGACUACAUUAGAUACCCCCGUAGUCCCAGCCCUAAACGAUGCGCGUUAGGUGUAUCGGUGACCACGAGUCACCGAGGUGCCGAAGGGAAACCGUGAAACGUGCCGCCUGGGAAGUACGGUCGCAAGGCUGAAACUUAAAGGAAUUGCGGGGGAGCACCACAACGGGUGGAGCCUGCGGUUUAAUUGGACUCAACGCCGGGAAGCUCACCGGAUAAGACAGCGGAAUGAUUGCCGGGCUGAAGACCCUGCAUGACCAGCUG